AAAAAGCGAAAACUUGUUUACCACUUGUUGCGAGACAUGUACAUAUUUAGAAAAUGAGCCGGUGGUUAGUCAUUGCACCGGACGCGCGCAAAGUACGAUGAAUGUGACAUGACGAAGCAUGAGAAGAAGAAGGAACUGGAAAAAUAAAAAUAGGAGAAACUCUCGGAGCAGAUGAAAAGAGAAAAGAGCAACGUGCGAUUUGCAAAGAACA
ensembl:ncRNA K08B12.9 ncRNA